rnacentral:rRNA from 1 species
GACGAACGCUGGCGGCAUGCCUAAUACAUGCAAGUUGAACGAUGAUAUUCUCUGCUUGCAGAGAAUUGAAGAGUAGCGAACGGGUGAGUAACACGUGGGGAACCUGCCCAUGAGAGGGGGAUAACAUUCGGAAACGGAUGCUAAUACCGCAUAAUGCUUUGGACCGCCUGGUCCAGAGACGAAAGACGGCUUUUGCUGUCACUCAUGGAUGGCCCCGCGCCGUAUUAGCUAGUUGGUGAGGUAAUGGCUCACCAAAGCUGUGAUACGUAGCCGACCUGAGAGGGUGAUCGGCCACACUGGGACUGAGACACGGCCCAGACUCCUACGGGAGGCAGCAGUAGGGAAUCUUCCACAAUGGGCGAAAGCCUGAUGGAGCAAUGCCGCGUGAAUGAAGAAGGUCUUCGGAUCGUAAAGUUCUGUUAUUAGAGAAGAACAAGUCAAGGAGUAACUGUCUUGACUUUGACGGUACCUAACCAGGAAGUCACGGCUAACUACGUG